rnacentral:rRNA from 1 species
UACGGAGGGUGCGAGCGUUGUCCGGAAUCAUUGGGCGUAAAGGGCGCGUAGGUGGCCCGGCAAGCGUGCGGUGAAAGUCGGGGGCUCAACCCCCGAUCGGCCGUGCGAACUGCGGGGCUGGAGCACUGUAGAGGCAGGCGGAAUUCCGGGUGUAGCGGUGGAAUGCGUAGAGAUCCGGAAGAACACCGGUGGCGAAGGCGGCCUGCUGGGCAGUUUUGCUGACACUGAGGCGCGACAGCGUGGGGAGC